GGGGCCGUAGUCCAGCAUGGAGUGGACGCCCGGCUUGGGCCCGGGAGGUCGUGGGUUCAAAUCCCACCGGCCCCA
rnacentral:tRNA from 1 species